rnacentral:lncRNA from 1 species
GCGUCUCCAGGCGGCGGCGGCAGCAGCGGAGGCGGCGGUAGCGGCGGCGGCUAUGGUGUGGUGGCUCGAUUCUCCCAGUGCCUGGCUGAGUUUCGGACGUGGUUAAGAACCAACUGGUUGAGGUUCAAUGCAGACAAGACGGAUGUGAUGCUGACUGUCUCUGGAUUCUUUUCCUGUCAAAUUACAAGCCAUCUGUUGAGUCUUCAAGUCCAGGGGGCUCAGCAGCGUCAGAGGACCAUGAGUUUGAUCCGUCAGCUGACAUGCUGGUUCAUGAUUUUGAUGAUGAGCGAACAUUAGAAGAAGAAGAAAUGAUGGAAGGAGAGACAAACUUCAGUUCUGAAAUAGAGGAUCUUGCGAGGGAAGGCGACAUGCCAAUCGACGAGCUUCUCAGCCUCUAUGGUUAUGGCAGCACUGUUCAGUUACCUGAAGAGGAGGAGGAGGAGGAAGAAGAGGAGGAAGAAGGUGAAGAUGAUGAAGAUGCGGACAAUGAUGACAACAGUGGCUGCAGUGGGGAAAAUAAAGAAGAGAAUAUAAAGGAUUCAUCGGGUCAGGAGGAUGAAACUCAGUCUUCCAAUGAUGAUCCCUCACAGUCUGUUACUUCCCAAGAUGCUCAGGAAAUAAUCCGCCCACGUCGAUGUAAAUAUUUUGAUACAAAUAGUGAAAUAGAAGAAGAAUCUGAAGAAGAUGAAGAUUAUAUUCCCUCAGAAGACUGGAAAA